rnacentral:rRNA from 1 species
GACGAACGCUGGCGGCGUGCCUAAUACAUGCAAGUCGAACGCAGUUGCGAACGGGUGAGUAACGCGUAGGUAACCUGCCUCAUAGCGGGGGAUAACUAUUGGAAACGAUAGCUAAUACCGCAUACUGUGAGAUGUACCUUCUUUGUAUUAGCUAGUUGGUGAGGUAAAGGCUCACCAAGGCGACGAUACCUAGCCGACCUGAGAGGGUGAUCGGCCACCCUGGGACUGAGACACGGCCCAGACUCCUACGGGAGGCAGCAUUGGGGAAUAUUGCACAAUGGGCGCAAGCCUGAUGCAGCCAUGCCGCGUGUAUGAAGAAGGCCUUCGGGUUGUAAAGUACUUUCAGCGGGGAGGCGGGAGCGGAAGAAGAAGCACCGGCUAACUCCGUGCCAGCAGCCGCGGUAAUAG